UUGAUGUUCAGUUCACAGCAGCAGCUUGGGGAGAGAGGCUGACAGAGAGCAGCCGCCGUGUGAAUUCAGUUUCAGUGUAAUGAAGAGUGUCUAAGAGCGUAUAGAAGAGAAAACCCGUCUGCAACACCUGAUCGGAAAACAUCUGCGGAUUUCUCUGGGGCUGUUUGUUUUUGGAAACGACUUGAGCCUACACAACCAGGAGAGCGAAAGCCGAGCCUGUGCCAAACUGUCCUUUGCCACUGGAGCCAUGGUGGCAGCCGUCCUUAAGAUGUAUUUUAUUGGGACGGCGCUGAGUGUCCUCGCAGUCUUGUAUGGAAUAGUGGACUCCUUUGGUGGUCUGAUGUAUGUCCAGAACCAGCACUACAUUUCUGAGCUGGACCACCAGACACAGAGACAGGACUCCUCAAGGACCCGUCGGAGUGCAUCAUCUCUGACUAAAAAUAUCGGUUCAUAAGAGAAACAUCUUGGUCACAACAGAUCAAAAAGGCUGCUGGAUGGAUAUACAGAAUACUGUGGCAAUGGAUCAACAGACUUGAGAAUCACUGGAGAUAGUAAAUGUACUGGUUCCAUUACUGACGUCAUUGUAGUGUCUAACUUAUUGGACAUGCUUUGCACUUUGAAAAAGCUUUGCACUAGAAGGUUAUUUGAUUUGGAGGCAGAAUCUCACACCAAGUCCUCUGUAACAAAUACUGUUGCAGCUAGUCUGCAUACAAAAGGCAACUACAAAUCUGACAA